GAAUAACUACGACACUCCGUGAGCCUGCAGCUCAUCUUCAGCUGGAGUGACUGGCCAAUGACCUCCAGGGAUCUGCUUGUUUCCACCUGCUAGACCUAGAAAUGCCUACUUCUGCCUCCAGCUUCCACAGGAGUGCUCGGGAUCCAAACUCAGGUCUUUCCUGGUACUCCACCAAGCUCUACAACUAGGAUCCUGUGUACAGAGGACAGGCCUGGCCAGGAGUGAAUGUUACCAAAGGAAGUUUAGAAUACCAAGCACACAACCCAACUUGAGGAUACAGAAAAUACCCUUGACCACAGCCAAGUGAGGUCAGGGUCCCCUGAGCACUCUUUCUUCAAUAUGCCGUAUUAAAAACUCUCUGAGGACAGAAACACACUUUCAAGUGAUGGUUAGGCGCUAGCCACCCCUUUCCUUUCUUCGUUUCUGACUCUUGUGGAUGCCUCAUAAAACAAAGGAGAAAAGGACCAACAUGUGUGGAAUCUACGCCAACUACUUAGAAAAGAUUCCCUUUGUCUUGGAGGACAAACAGUAUAGAGUCAGGUGCCUGGUGGUUGUCGGGUAAGUCUGGCCAGAGGUCCGUGGUUCACUCUGCAUCGUUGCAGUUUCCUCAGUGUGUAUAUAACUCCUAUGCACGGUAAUUAAAGGAACUGACUUUCCCAUGCCAAACUGAAGUGCCAUAGGACAUGAGUCUGAAACACGCUGUUCCCCUUGCUCUUUUUUCUGUCACAAACUUGAGGCAAAAUUUUAAAGCAUUCUGUCUGGCUUAUUGGAAUGCUUGUCUUAAACCCAUAAAGUUAUUUGAUUAAGAUUUCUUUC